rnacentral:rRNA from 1 species
CCUACGGGUGGCAGCAGUGGGGGAUAUUGCACAAUGGGGGAAACCCUGAUGCAGCGACGCCGCGUGGGCGAAGAAGUAUUUCGGUAUGUAAAGCCCUAUCAGCAGGGAAGAAGAAAUGACGGUACCUGAGUAAGAAGCACCGGCUAAAUACGUGCCAGCAGCCGCGGUAAUACGUAUGGUGCAAGCGUUAUCCGGAUUUACUGGGUGGAAAGGGAGCGUAGACGGCAGUGCAAGUCUGGAGUGAAAGGCGGGGGCUCAACCCCCGGACUGCUCUGGAAACUGUACGGCUGGAGUGCAGGAGAGGUAAGUGGAAUUCCUAGUGUAGCGGUGAAAUGCGUAGAUAUUAGGAGGAACACCAGUGGCGAAGGCGGCUUACUGGACUGUAACUGACGUUGAGGCUCGAAAGCGUGGGGAGCAAACAGGAUUAGAUACCCCUGUAGUC